GUUUGAUACAGCUCAGUCACAAUGAGUUGGAAUGCACCAUACAGCUGGAGUCAGGGAUAUACGUAAUUUCAAUAUUCUAGAGACGGGGGCAAGCUUAGUGUCAUCCAGGUAAAAAUACCAUUACAAUCUAUAACCUGGUAAUAUUUGACACAACAGAGGUCCAGCCCUUCUGACCAGUGAUGUAUGUCCAUCUGUCGUGUCCAGUUGUAAAUGACGUAACAGCCACUUGAGGGAUACAAGCGACAGACGUCUCAAUACAAGGACGUCCUCCAGAUGGUACCCCUAACGAGCUGUAAGUGACGACGACGUUAACCAGCCUUUGGCGAGUAUUUAAUAUCUCAUCACAUCCUCUUACCAAUUGUCUAACGUCUCCGACUCCAAUUAUCACAUUACGAUCCCACUCGUCCUGACUGCUGACCAGUGGAUAUAGCCAGACUGACCACUAGAUUCAAAGACACCUUACAGAUGGCCGAAUCACCAUGUAGGAGUGGUUCACGCGCCCUGUUAUAUCUUUGUUCCGGGUAUACCGACAAAUAGGUAUCAGACUUGCCCGCCUGAUUCGACUGGACACAGAUGGUCAUUACAGACACCUUUGCCUGACCAACAGGUCUAAGGUCAUAUAUCUGCCCAGAAGGGAUGCAGAGGUGCCUCUACAUGAUUUAUAACACUUACGAGGACUUUUCUGAACAUUUAGAUUCUUUUCUCCUCCAAUUAUAAUAAUUUACUGUAUCAAAAGCGGUAGAUUUCAAACAAAGAACAGCAAUACUGGCUGACUGUAGAACAUAUGCUCGGCAAAAAUCCUAUUGAUGUGUCAAAUAGUCUCCAGCGACAGAAACGUAUUUGAUAUUAUGUAGAGGGUCAAUCUGGCCAAGGUGAUAUGCCAGUUCAAGGAUAGCUCGCAGAACGGGACAAUUUGUAGAUGUAUAUAUAAUCACCUUGUCUAAUAUCACCUUUAGACUUAUUAUGUAUUCAACGUGCUAUUGAAUAAAAAUCCACUGUUGGAAAAUAA